CACAGCAUCAGUGCUUCUCAGCAUAUUUUGUUACUGAUAGUGAAAAAUCUGACUGAAGACAAAGCCCUUAAUAGAUCACGCAAUACCAGACGUUUUUUGCGCGUAAAAAUUAAGUAUGAAAGUACCCUUUACGCAGGCAACAUGUUCUGUCAGUAAUUCUAUUCGUACCCCGGAGCCGAACGCCCACAACACAUGGCGUAUCCCCAUCAACUCACUUUGUUGGAGGCUGGAUUUCCUCCUCUACGUCCUGGACAGCUGCAUGAUUCGUCUGAUUAUUCGUCCAGCGAGGAGGAUGAUAGUCCGAGACAUCGCGGUCAAGUGGUCGCAGCAUCCGAGCUCAGCACGCCCAGUCCGCCUAUGAGCCCGUAUUUGGCUGCCACCGGUCAGUUCGGCUCGACAGCAGAAUCAGUCAGUGAAGCCAGCGAAGCUCCAAGUCAACAGAAAGAAGAAAAGGCCCGUUCCCGACUGGAGGAAACCCGGAAACGAGUGGAAAAGCUCACUGAACGGGUGCGCGAGAGUGUAGAGACCAUUAUGGAGCGAGUGUUGAUUCAUGUAAGGAACGGGAUCAUUGCAUGGCAUUCCGGAAUUUAAUGGUGACGGCGAUUGCCAGAUGCGGACAUAAUUAUUAUUGUACGUAUGUACGAGGUAUUUCUAAUAGAAUAAGCAAAACAUGCAACAGAGAGCCGGGUCACCGUUGGAUGCCGGUACGAGGAACUAUACAUUAUCCGGAGUUGGUGUAAACUCAAUAUCGCAUUUUUACUGACUUUGGUCACCCACGAGAUAACAAUUAAACGGCUAGUAAUAACCAUUUUGAUCAUGAAAACGUCAACAGAUUACAGAGCAGAUCUGUAGUGGCAACUAACCAAUCGGUUUAUAGUUGCUAAAAUUAAGUAACUAAAAUAAAACAAACCCAUGUCUUCGUCAUACGGCAACAAGACAAAUACAAAUUAAAACAAAUUAAAACGAGCAAAUUUUCAGUAAAGAGUAAAACCAGGAAUGUUAACGCAGACAAUUCAAUCUAGGUCACAAACAACCAACCAAAAUCUGCAGCGAUAUUUAUAACAAGAACUGUUUUUUAAACCGAAUACAAAGUACAAAUUCAAAAUUAAAUAUUAACCAGUCGAGAAAUAUCACAAAUACACGCCAAAUCCACGUAACUUGCUAUUUUUGCAACUCCCAAAACGUGGACGGUGUGCUGGUAGGAACUCCGUCGUCCAUCGCAACGAAGCUACCCAACAAUUCUAUGAGAUCCAACGCGUGCAGAGGAUAGAGCGUCCAUGGCUAUACUGGCCAACUGCAUAUCGAAUUCCACGAAAGCCCACCUCCUAUUAUGGCAGUAGAAACAAUCACAUAGAGCCAGAAUAGUACCGGCCACGUCUGUAGUCUGGUGGCAGAAUUCAACCUUGGUCCCGGGAGAUUUAAAGUCGGAAUAGGACGUCCAGUAUUCCGAUCUGGCUUCAUCGUUGAUACUGGUACACCUGCAUUAUUAAGUGGUUGAUUAAUUGUAUCAUGCGCAAAAUAAAUGUAAAUGUAAAGCAACAAUGAACUACGAAUAAAAUUUCGCAAAGAGAAAUAACACAUUCCCUUAAAAAUCCAAUUUUAAACUAAU